rnacentral:lncRNA from 10 species
CUGGGCCAACAGGGUAAAUAAAGGUUUAGGAGAAAAUGUCAAGUUGUCCUCCAUCAUGAUUACAAAAGUGGAUUCUCUUUCCAGCAAUGUAAAAGAGCUGUUUUGUGACACACAUUUCUCCAACACUUAGUACAGUCCAUUUUAAAAUUAUUGCCAAAUGUAUGGUAUGAAAUAACAUCUCAGUGUCGUCUUGAUUGGCAUUGCCAUGAUCAUAUAUAAAUCAAGUGUUUAUUGACUAGGAAAUGUGUUUUUGCCUCUUAACCAUUUUUCUCUUGGGCUAUGUUCUUAAUGAUUUUAAAGAGCUUUAUGCAUUUUUGACAUGACUCCGUAUAACUUAAACACUAUUAAUUUCACCAAUAGAAAAGCAUCCACCUUCUCAUAGCAGCCUUUCUGUUAUUUAACGAACCGUCUGAGUAUCAUGGGAGUUUAAGCACCACAGAAGGGCUUAUAAUGGCAUACCCAGUAAUACGCGCCUUUCUGAGUUUAUAUCCCCAGGUGGUGUCUGUUAAAUGGUUAGCUAAGUGCCCCUUGGCUAUGGUUAAUUAGUUUAAUUUGUAUAGCAUGUUUACAUAUAUACAUUCGCAUGCACAAGCACACACACACGCACAACAUACAACAACACUGCCUAAAAUGAAUGACAAUGUAACACUCACUGUUUCUGAUCCCAUUGACACCACCCUGUUGCCCCACCAACACCUUUGGUGAUUUCCAGUGGGCUCUUUCUUCCAGUCUCUUUCCUUCUCAGUGCAGCCUGCGCACUGACCCCAGACUCCUCUCUUCAUUAUCUAUUAAUACAAAUGAAGUCAAAAUGCCUCAGUCCUGCCCUGCCCUAGCCUUCCUUCCCAGGCAGCCCUCCUCCUGCUUCUCACAGGCGUGGAGCCUCAGGGCAUGAGCUUUGGCAUCGAUAACUCUGUCCCAGCCUGAGAACUUGGCAGAUGUAUGACCUGGAAGUCAAUCACACACCCUGAUGAAAGCUUGGUUUCUUCUUCCGUGAAAGAAGGAGAAUCCCAGUGACUAUCUCAAAGGCACACAGAGUCCAUAUGAGGAUGAAGUGAGGUAAUGUUUUUUCAAUGUUCAGUACAGUGUCGGCAAAAUAACAAUCAAUAAAUGUUUGUUUUUAUGUGCCUAUUAUUAUCAUUAAUAUUGCACUUCAGGCCACGCGCGGUGGCUCACGCCUGUAAGCCAUUGCACUCCAGCCUGGGCAACAGAGCAAAACUGAGCAUCUUGUUAUUCCCUAAAUACUAAGGUGGGGAUUCACUUGGCCACUCCCCCUUAGCAUCUCCUUAAAGAUAUCUUACUCAACUGCGUGUAUAAUGGGAGAGAAUGCUAUGAUCUUCAGAAUCCUUAAGCACUUUGCUAACACUUACUUUAUAACACUUAUGGCUAGCAGUUUCUUAUACAAACACAUUCAUCUCUCUGCUGUCUGUGUGCUGCUUGAGAGCAAGAACUAUUAUAUUAGUCACCUCUUUUUCCACGAUCUAGAGCCAGGCCUAGAACAGAACAGGUGUUCAGGAAAUCUAUGUUGUGUGAAUGUCUUCCUUCUUUUUUUCUUUUCCUCUUCUUUACUAAUCCAAAAAACAUUUUUUUUAAAUACCCCCAUGGAAAAAUUCUUAUAAGAAAGUUACUUUUGUCUGUAAACCUUAUAAAACCUCAUGAUGUCCAGCCUGGAAACAUUAUAGUUUCUUUCUUUUUUUUUUUUUUAAAUCCCAAAUAAUGAUUCAUUGAUUCAUGCCUGUUCCCAUGAAUAGGUUCACACAAUUCUUACUAAUUUUCUUUUCUUUUUGUAUUAUAUAAACCCAUAAGUACCAGGGACUCUCUUAUGCUCCUUACAAAUUGCCCCCAACCCAGGCACAACAUAUCCCUCACCUACACCAACUGGGCACAGCCAUCUUGGCCUCUUGUCUACCUCUUCAUUUCUCCUCUGCCACAAGAAAUCUGAACAUCACCUUUCUCUUUGUCCAAAGUCUUCAGUUUUCCUACGUCACUCAAGGUACAGAUUCCCUGAGAGUUUAGUUCUUAUUCUGCCUGGCUGCUUUUAUGGGGAGAAUGUUCCCAGUCAUGAUGAUGCUUUCUUGCUUUGAAAUUCCAGGGAGGAAAACAAAGGAAGCAGACAAUCCUUCGAUGCUCUACUGUGGCCAGAGUUGGGGUGGGGAGGGGAGGAGACCCACACAUCAAUACACUCUUGCUGCUGUGGUUCUGUAACAUUAUGAUGCAUUCAUAUGAUGCCCGGGGAUAGACCAUAUUCAUAAAUAUAAAUUAUUCUGUAAGUUCAGCUUUAAUGUCUUUAAAUAUUACCUUUUCCAUCAUCCUUUCCUGGCCUGAAACAAACCAAGGAGCACAAGCUGUCACGUUCUGUCUUAUGUCAUUCGCAAUCACAAUCAUUAGAUCAUUUGAUUAACUUCAUGAGCUAGAAGAG